UACGUAGGAGGCAAGCGUUGUCCGGAGUUACUGGGCGUAAAGCGCACGCAGGCGGUCGCAUCAGUCUGGGGUGACAGUUCCCGGCUUAACCGGAAAAGGACUCUGGAAACUGUGCGACUUGAGGGCUUCAGAGGGAUGUGGAAUUCCAGGUGGAGUGGUGAAAUGCGUAGAGAUCCGGAGGAACCCCAGAGGCGAAGGCGGCGUCCUGGCUCACAACUGACGCUCAGACACGACAGCAUGGGGAGCGAACGGG
rnacentral:rRNA from 1 species